AGCAGAGGAAGCUGUUUGCGGGGAAAAAGGGCCAGAGAAGCAGGUAGGCUCCUCAAGCUUGGAUGGAGUGGGGCUUGGCACUAGAUUUGCUUAAAGUCCAGCCACUUCAGCCUCUCCCUUCGGUUUGUCUCCUAGGGGUUCCCUGUACGUACCCCUUUCCCUCCAGCACUGGAGCCCGAGUCUCCCGCUGAGCAGGCACCUCUCCCUCCACGCCCAGGCUUCUUAAACCAACCCCUCCUCCCCUUGUCAUUCAUGAACCAGAAACUGAGGCUCAGAAGCGUUCGGCCACGUGCAUGCAUUGCCUUUCCCAUUGGUGCUCCAUCGCCAGUAAUGGAUAAGUAAUAAGUAAUAAGGUGCAUUGGAAAUUCAAAUUUCAGAAUAAGCUGACUGCCAAGAGGGCCCUCCCCCUGUCGGGAGUCCCUUAGUCCAUGGGAAAUUCACAGAGAAGGAAACAGUCACUUUUCCUGCACCUGAGAAGGUGAUUCUGACUCUCCUGGAACCUGAGAACCACCAGUCUACGGGAACAGAGCCCUGCUUUGGGUCAGGUGUGUAUAACUAUGGUAUUCCCUUUCUUCUCUGCCUCUAUUGUUGAUGUUGUUUUUUUGUUUUUUGUUUUUUUUUGAAACGGAGUCUCGCUGUUGCCCAGGCUGGAGUGCAGUGGCGCAAUCUCGGCUCACUACAAUCUCCGCCUCUGGGGUUCACGCCAUUCUCCUGCCUCAGCCUCCCGAGUAGCUGGUAAGGGAGGAGACCACCCCUCACAUUGUCUUAUGCCCAAUUUCUGCCUCCAAAGAAAGAAGUAAAAACUAAAAGGCAGAAAUGAAAUCCACAGGCAGACAGCCCGGCGCUGCACCCUGGGCCUGGUAGUUAAAGAUCGACCCCUGACCUAAUCAGUUAUGUUGUCUAUAGAUUACAGACAUUGUAUAGAAAUGCACUGUGAAAAUCCCUAUCUGUUUUGUUCCGAUCUAGUUACCAGUGCAUGCAGACCCCAGUCACGUACCCCUUGCUUGCUCAAUCAAUCCCGACCCCCUCACACGCACCCUCCUUAGAGUUGUGAGCCCUUAAAAGGGAUAGGAAUUGCUCACUCGGGGAGCUCGGCUCUCGAGACAGGAGUCUUGCCGAUGCCCCCAGCCGAUUAAACCCCUUCCUUCAACUCGGUGUCUGAGGAGUUUUGUCUGCAGCUCGUCCUGCUACACUGGGACUACAGGCGCUCGCCACCACGCCCGGCUAAUUUUUUAUAUUUUUUAGUAGAGGCAGGGUUUCACCGUGUUAGCCAGGAUGGUCUCGAUUGCCUGACCUCAUGAUCCGCCUGCCUUGGCCUCCCAAAGUGUUGGGAUUACAGGCGUGAGCCACCGCGCCCGGCCCCACUCUCUACCUCUGUUUGUUUAGGGGCAGGCAUAGAAUCCCAUUCUAGUCAAUGAGACAGAAAGGGGUUCUGGAAAGUUCCCCCACCCCCUUAUAAAACAAGGAGGACGUCUUCAAGGAGGACGUCUGAGGAGAAGCUUUGCCGUGGCCUUUUGCCUUUGGAUGCUGCCAGAGGGGUUAGAAGGCGGAGCUCCACAGUCAGGCAGCUGGGGUGUGUAUCCUAGCGGGGAGAGCAAGAGACAGUGGGACAAAAAUAAUAACAGUAAUAGCAGCAAUGCUUCUUGAGGACUUUCCGCAUGGCAGGCCCUAUUCUAAGCACCUCAUGUAGCAUAUUUUACCCUCAAACAGUCCUGAGGUAGGUUCUGUUAUUGCGAUUUUAUAAAUGAGGAAACUGAAGCACAGACAAGUUUAAAUAACUCGUUCAAAGUCAUACAGCUCAUACAUGGAGGCCAGCAUGCAGGCCAGGUGUGUGGGGUAUGGGCAUUGCGGGCUACUUUAGGGACCCUGACCUUUUCCUCAGCAUAGUGGGAAGCUGGUGAAAGGUUUUAAGCAGGGGUGGCCCCUCUGAUUUACCUUUUUUUUUUUUUUUUUUUUUUUGAGACAGUGUCUCACUCUGUUGCCCAGGCUGGAGCGCACUGGUGAGAUCUUGGCUCACUGCAGCCUCAAACUCCUGGGCUCAAGUGAUCCUCCCACCUCAGCCUCCUGAGAAGCUGGGACUACAGGCAAAUGCUACAGUGGCUGGCUACUUUUUGUAAAGACGGAGUUUCACCAUGUUACCCAGGCUGGUUUUGAACUCCUGAGCUCAAGCAAUCCGUCCACCUCUGCCUCCCAAAGUGCUGGGAUUACACGCAUGAGCCACCACAUCUGGCCUGAUUUACUUUUAAAAGUCACUGAAAUGCUUUGCUCCUAAAUUCUCUGCUGGGGACAAGCCAGCCACACUUGCACGGCCUGUUCUUCAGCCUCUUUUCCUCCCUGAGACAUCAGUCCCUUAGCAAACCCAGCGUCUUGGGUGACUGGGACCAGGGUGACUCAAUGGCAGAUGCUGAUGGGUGAGACAGCCACAAAGAUGAUCUUUGGAGAGUGAGUUAUAGGUGAUUUGUUUUAUUUAAUUUUUAAUUUUUUUAUUUUUUUUUGAGACAGAGUCUCACUCUGUCGCCCAGGCUGGAGUGCAGUGGCGUGAUCUCAGCUCACUGCAACCUCCUCCUCCCGGUUCAAGCUACUCUCCUGACUCAGCCUCCAGAGUAGCUGAGAUUCCAGGCAUGUGCCACCACACCCAGCUAAUCUUUGUAUUUUUAGUAUAGACAGGGUUUCACCAUAUUGGCCAGGCUGGUCUCCAACUCCUGACCUCAAGUGAUCCACCAACCUUGGCCUCCCAAAGUGUUGGGAUUACAGGAGUGAGCCACCACCUCUGGCCAGGUGAUUCGUUUUAAAUCUGAAUUUUUACAUUUUUUUAUAAUAAGUGACCAUAUAUCACUUGCUAUUUAAAAAAAAAUUUUUUUUGAGAUGGAGUUUCACCCUUGUUGCCCAGGCUGGAGUGCAAUGGCAUGAUCUUGGGCCACUGCAAUCUCCGCCUCCCGGGUUCGAGCGAUUCUCCUGCCUCAGCCUCCAAGUAGCUGGGACUACAGGCAUGUGCCACCACGCCCAGAUAAUUUUUGUAUUUUUAGUAGAGGCAGGGUUUCACCAUGUUGGCCAGGCUGGUCUCAAACUCCUGACCUCCGGUGAUUCUCCUGCCUUGGCCUCCCAAAGUGCUGGGAUUACAGGCAUGAGCCACCGUGCCCAGCCAAAAGUCAUUAUUUAUAAAAAGAAAGAUGAGGGGCCAGCACCCCACCCUCCCCAGGGUUGUUGACUCCUGCUGGUACUGGCUGUGGCUGAAGUCAUCAUCAUGGAGGCUAACCCUUGGAGGGUAGAUAGUGCAGUGGCAGCAUCCUAAGGGCUUUAUGUGACCUGUAUGAACUCAUUUAAUCCCCAC
rnacentral:lncRNA from 1 species